ACUAAGCCAGCCCCAUCAGGUUCACCCAUGGUGGGUGAUGAAAAGGGAAGAUGGUGUAAGUCCAUCACGGUCCCGCCGCUGUAACUCUAACCCUUCGGGGUAAAACCACAAAAGUCACUGUCCGCCAAAGGCGAAUGGGAAGACGGUUUUAAGAGAAGUCAGAAGACCUGCCUGAGACAAGGUUACCUU
rnacentral:ncRNA from 2 species